rnacentral:rRNA from 1 species
GACGAACGCUGGCGGCGUGCUUAACACAUGCAAGUCGAACGGAAAGGCCCUGCUUUUGUGGGGUGCUCGAGUGGCGAACGGGUGAGUAACACGUGAGUAACCUGCCCUUGACUUUGGGAUAACUUCAGGAAACUGGGGCUAAUACCGGAUAGGAGCUCCUGCUGCAUGGUGGGGGUUGGAAAGUUUCGGCGGUUGGGGAUGGACUCGCGGCUUAUCAGCUUGUUGGUGGGUUAGUGGCUUACCAAGGCUUUGACGGGUAGCCGGCCUGAGAGGGUGACCGGCGAAAUUGGGACUGAGAUACGGACCAGACGAGAAGGGGAGGCAGCAGUGGGGAAUAGUGAAAAAUGGGAGGAAGCAUGAGGAAGAAAAGCAGCGAGAGGGAUGAAGGCCUUCGGGUUGUAAAAAGAUUUAGCAUGUGACGAAGAGUGAGUGACGGUAAUGGGUAAAGAAGCACCGGCUAACUACGUG